rnacentral:rRNA from 1 species
AUUGAACGCUGGCGGAAUGCUUUACACAUGCAAGUCGAACGGCAGCACGGGGGCAACCCUGGUGGCGAGUGGCGAACGGGUGAGUAGUACAUCGGAACGUGCCCGGUCGUGGGGGAUAACGUAGCGAAAGUUACGCUAAUACCGCAUACGAUCUGAGGAUGAAAGCGGGGGACCUUCGGGCCUCGCGCGAUCGGAGCGGCCGAUGUCAGAUUAGGUAGUUGGUGGGGUAAAGGCCUACCAAGCCGACGAUCUGUAGCUGGUCUGAGAGGACGACCAGCCACACUGGGACUGAGACACGGCCCAGACUCCUACGGGAGGCAGCAGUGGGGAAUUUUGGACAAUGGGCGCAAGCCUGAUCCAGCCAUUCCGCGUGCAGGACGAAGGCCUUCGGGUUGUAAACUGCUUUUGUAUGGAACGAAAAGGCUCUGGCUAAUACCUGGGGCUCAUGACGGCACCGUAAGAAUAAGCACCGGCUAACUACGUG